rnacentral:lncRNA from 1 species
CCAGAUAGAAUUGGAUCAUGGAGUCACACAAAUAAUGAUAUUGGUCUAAGAUUGUAUAAUUGGGCUAAGUAUAGUCUGAUUGGAUUAGGAUCAAUUGAGUCCUGAUUUUGGGUUUAAGUAAACCAUACUAGUAUAUGGUUAAUCCUAUUUUCUCUUAUUUGAUUAGGGUCCAUCCUAUUAGAUAGGAUUUAAACAAAUUUGAUGCAAGUUUAAAUUGGGUUCCACAUAUUGGUUUACCUGGGUUCGAAUUUGACCUAAUUAGAUUAGGUUUAUGGGGAUGUCAAAUGUUGGCGCCAUCCAAUGUUAUUCGAUCAAGAAGAGGGGCACACCCACAUGGAUCGGAUCCAUGUGUGUUGCCCAAAUCAGAUAAGGGAGGGA